GACAGAGCGUUGCUCACCGAGCGGCAUCCAACCCCUUCUCCGCAGGUCAGGAAAAAGCGAGACCAGAUCCUGGAGAGCUUUGUCCGCACCGUGUGCGAAUGCUGCGACCCCUGCACCGUUCUGGAAGCCAUGGAAGGGCUCUGCUGGAUGCUGCGGGACCCCAAGGCGCCUCUGAAGGCUCACGUCGCCGUCCCACUGGCCCUGCAGGCGAGAAUGUUCUUUGAGGAUGAGAACAGCGGCCUGAGGUGGGCCUCCAUGGAGCUCUUUGGCCACCUCAGCAAAUUUGUUUCCAAGAAGUCAUCCCUCUUUGGGGAUGAGGUGGAGAAGAGCAUGGGGACGCUGCUCAUCCACCUACAGGACAGGGACCCCCACGUGGUCCAGGCGUGCAGGGUGGCAUUGCUGCAGUGCGCACCCUUCCUCAGCUACCAGCCCCUGCGCACGUUCGUGUAGAGCCAGCUAGCCGAGGGG
rnacentral:lncRNA from 1 species